AGGAGGUCAGUGCGCUCGCUGCUUCCAGCCGAUCCCAGGUUCCGCUUUGGUCAUGAGGUCUGGAGAGCUGACCUUCCAUCCUCACUGCUUCUCCUGCCAGGAGUGUGAUGUGAAGUUAACACCAGGGAACCUGUACUGCAUGCAGGGCCAGAACCUCUACUGUCAGUCCCAUUACCAUGGCGACGGGACUGUCCUGCUGUCACAUGAUCUCCAGCCCAAAGCAAAUCUGAAAGAAGGUGAGAGCUGUGCGUGCGUGUGUGUGUGAAAGCACUGUGUGUGUGCAGGCUUCUAACGAGCUAACAAAACACUUGUGUGUGUGUGUGUGAGACCCAGCUCACAAUCUGGUGUCAGGUGAAGGAGAGGAGUCUGUCAGCAGUCCAGAGCCACGACUGGACGACAGGGCGGCUGGUGGGCGGGCCCGCAGGCGGACCAAGCGAAUUAGAACGUGUUUCCGCAGCGAGCAGCUCAGAGCGCUGGAGUCGUAUUUCGCCCAGAAGCACAACCCUGACGGUAAAGACUGGACCUGCCUCGCUCAUAAGACCGGCCUGCCCAAGAGAGUCCUGCAGGUGUGGUUUCAAAACGCUCGGGCCAAGCUGAGACGUUCCCUCACCACCGACGACUCUCAGGUCAACUCACCCUCUGGUCCCCCGAGAGGCAUAACCAUGACGACCGGCUCCCCGUCCCCAGCCCGUUCCCCUGCCGGCCAAUCACAGCCCUUCCCCACCAGCACCAUCGACCACCUGCAGCUGUCUCUACUCACCGCCCCGCUCGGCGACCCCCCGCUGAGUCCAGCCAUCAACCAGGCACAUCAGCUGCAACACCCCUCCUUCUUCCUGGACUACAAUUCCCAGAGUGCACCAGGGUGUACCUCCUCUCUGGAGGCCUACGAGGACUUUGGAGAGGCAGGAGGAGGAGCAGGAGCAGAGGGAGAAGCUGAUCCUGGUUGUUCUUUUAGACCACAUUACUGCUAGUUGAGAAUUUUCAAAAUAAGAGAAUAGUUGAAGAUUUCAGCCUCUAAUGUGAAGCAAAACAGGAAAUGUUUACUUUAGCAGAAAUGUAAUCCAGCUGUGAAGCAUCUGCAGGAGAAGAGCAGUAAACAGUGAGAACAGUGAGUGAGACGGAAAGAUUCAUCUGAAAUAGGGCUGGGGAAAAUUUUAAUGAGAAUAUUUUCAAAUAUCAAUAUCACAAUAAGGCAAAUAAAUGUAAACUCACACAAAGAUACUGGAAGUGUGUUGUGUUAUGCAUCUAAAUCACACCUUGUUCUUAAUGAUUAAUUUGACCAGCAGCACUGAAGGAUGUGAUAACAAUGCUGCCCUAAUUACUGCAUGUCACCUUGGACUCAACAUGCGAACAAGCAUUUAGAAAGUGAUUCAUAGAUUAAUCAAUAAUGAAACAAACGAUCAGCAGCAGUGCUUUUCAGUUGUUGUUUGCUCAGAGAAAAUGUUGAGUCUGUUUGAGUGUUUUUGCUACGUUAUGAGCCUCAAACUCAGUCGAUAUUUUAACAGUAGACAAAACAAUGUUUCUGUAGUUCAACAAACACACUUGUUAAAGGACCAGUUUGUAGGAUUUAGUGGCAUCUUGUGGUGAGGUUGCAGACUACACCCUCACCUUCCCCUACGGUGGCUGCGGAAAAUGCUAAAAGCAUAAAACUACUACGUAGAAGCGAAGAGCAACACCUCCUCUGUGGAGGAGGACCUGCUUCCUCUGUGGAUGUAAAGACUCAUUCUGGUGUUUAAACACUAAUGAAAGCAUAAUUGUGAAUAAUAUGUUUCACUUCUGCGAAUAGAUCCACCUCAGUCCUGCACACUGGACCUUUAACUCAGCUUAUUUACCACUUUUUUUAGCGCUUUCAAACACAUCACGUGAUCUGAGUGACUGCUGUCAUGUGACAGAAGCUCAACACUCUACAUUAAAAUGUCUGGAGUUUUUUAGCCACAUGUCACAGAGGUCCAGCGUGAACUUCCUCACUGAAUAUUUUGUUUUAACUU